rnacentral:rRNA from 1 species
UACGUAGGGUGCAAGCGUUGUCCGGAAUUAUUGGGCGUAAAGAGCUCGUAGGCGGUUUUGUCGCGUCUGCUGUGAAAACCCGAGGCUCAACCUCGGGCCUGCAGUGGGUACGGGCAGACUAGAGUGCGGUAGGGAGAUUGGAAUUCCUGGUGUAGCGGUGAAAUGCGCAGAUAUCAGGAGGAACACCGGUGGCGAAGGCGGGUCUCUGGGCCGUAACUGACGCUGAGGAGCGAAAGCAUGGGGAGCGAACAGG